CCGUUUUCAUCAGUCUUUUCAAAUACCCUUCCUUCCCCAUCGUUGGAAAUUUAAAUCCUCUCUCCUUCACUUUCCCAUUUCUUCACCAUCUCUUUCUCUUCAAAAUUUUCCCCUCUCAUCCGUUUUCGUCUCUUCCUUCUCAAUCGUUUUUUUUUUUUUGAUAUGGAAAUCACUUGCUUCAUCCAUAGAUUUUGGGUUUUCAGCCGUAGGAAAUAUUGUUUCGGUUCGUCUUUUCAAAUCUAUGGAUGCCUUUGUGGUUGUUCUUGUUGGAUGCUUUGGGAAAGAAAGAAACUCUGGCUCUGCAAGAUUUUACCAGCAAUGGCCUCUCUUUUGCAGUCAACUACUUUAUUAUUCAUAUUCUCUAUUACAUUGAUUCUUAUCCCAAAUAGACACGCUAUUCCCUUCAUCGUAUUGCACGUUUUUUCUAGGAUUGCAUGUAUUUGGAGGACUCUUGGAGGAACAUAUCUCGAUGCCCAUGUCCGAGCAUGUGUUGGAGAUGAAUUUGGACACAGUAGUUAUUUAGGCAAAAUGAAGAGUUGGGUUAAAAUAUAGUGAAAAACUUACCAAAAAAAAAAAGUCAAACAUACCCAUAUAAGAUGCGUGCCUCUACUCACACCCGCUUGAGUCCAAGUAACAUGUACUGAGUGUUGGUGCACUCAUAUGGUCCUCUGACUGGUUUUUUCACUGCAAACCAUCAAACUGGAUGAAUUCUAAUGUUUGUUAGUCAGAUGUUUCAACUCAGUUUUGCCCUUUGAUUUUUAUUUGAUCAAUAGGGACUAUGCCUAACAAGAAAUUCGGAGGAACCUUCACAUAUUGUAUCCAUGUUCGACUACUUAUGGUCUAAAACUAUUGCUACAAUAUUGUGGCCAUUGCAUGUCUUACCAACAAAGUUCGUCUACAAAAAGAUCGGCUCUGCCAUUGGGAUACAAAAGACUGCCAAAAGCCGAGGUGGAAGUUUGCCAGCGCAUAUUGAAAAGUUUUAUGAGACAAUUGGUCUGGAAGUGCAGAAUGGAUAUGGUUUAAUAGAAACAUCACCUUGCGUUACUGGUCGACAACCUUAUUAUAAUGUUUAUAAUUCACUGUUUCGCUCUGUGUUUGAAAUCUAUCAAUAUGGGUCUGUCUGUUUCUUUUUGGUUGCUUUAUCGGAGACUGAUUUCAGUGGAAUUCAAAAGCGGAUAUCUUCAAGCCCCAAUGCUAUUAAAUUAAUAGUAUUUUCAUUCAUAAGGAUCAGCUUGGCAUACACGGAGUUGAAGAGAAUUUAUGAGGUGAUGGCAAUUUUUGUGAAACUAAAUUUGAAUUCUGCAGAUUCCUUGUUAAUGCUUUAUGUUGUUAUGCACUCUCCCAUGGCUUAAAUUCAUUCUUUAAUGCCCUCAAACUUGAGAUAAAUGGGGAUUUUAGAUGCCAGUUUAACGUGAUACGCAUAUUUCUUUUAUGGAUAUAAUGCCUAAAGUUCAACUAAGACCACAUACUUCAUUUCUAGUGAAAUUGUUUAAGGAAUUGUGCCUUUGUAUAAAUUGUUAAAAUUCUGUUAAAUGUACAUUCAAGGUUAAACAUGGUUCUGCUUAUCAGGGAAUUCGUUUGACAAUAGGGUUAUGCUGAUAAUGCUUUCUGCAGAAUAUGCUGACUAGUCUAGCAGCCUGUGGAUUUGACCAAACUGAAUAAAGCAAAUUAAAAACUUCCAUCCUGUGUUGCUUUAAUUUUCAUUUUUCUUAAAGUAUCCAUGUUCAACACAUUCCCGGACGUGGGUAUAGCAUAUGACCCUCCAAAUACAUGAAAGGUUAUGUUACUCGGACUUCGGUGUAAGUAUUGGACAUAGGCAUCUGACCUGAGUAUUUUCAGUUUUUUCUAGGAUCGCAUGUAUUCGGUGGACUUUUGGAGGACUAUAUCUUGAUGCCCAUGUCUGAGCAUGUGUUGGAGAUGAAUUCAGACACGAUAGUUAUUUAGGCAAAAUGAAGAGUUGGGUUAAUAUAGAGAAAAACUUACCAAAAAAAAAGAGUCAAACAUACCCAUAUAAGAUGCGUGCGUGUCACAUGUACCGAGUGUUGGUGCACUCAUAUGGUCCUCUGACUGCCUUUUUCGCUCCAAACUAUCAAACUGGAUGAAUUCUAAUGUUCGUUAGUCAGUUGUUUCAACUCAGUUUUGCAGUUUGAUUUUUAUUUGAUCACAAAAAAAUCCACUCUGCUAUUGGGAUAGAAAAGGUUUGAUCUAUUAUCUACCUAAACCUUAAACGUUCCUUUCUCCUUUCUUAACUACUGUUUUUUCCAUUCUUUUCAAAUAUUUUCCUUCUGUCCUGUUUUCUUUCUCCCAGCCUCCUUUCUUGUCCUUUCUUUCUUCACACACACAAAUACGGUACAUUAGGGUUUCCUGUUUUCUUAUUCAAAGAGUCACUGUUACGUUCCGUUGAAAUUAUGGAUCUCGGUGUGGGCUUCUGUUUUGGCGUUUGG